rnacentral:rRNA from 1 species
UGGGGAAUCUUGCACAAUGGGGGCAACCCUGAUGCAGCGACGCCGCGUGAGCGAUGAAGCCCUUCGGGGCGUAAAGCUCUUUCGACCGGAACGAUAAUGACGGUACCGGGAGAAGAAGCCUCGGCUAACUACGUGCCAGCAGCCGCGGUAAAACGUAGGAGGCGAGCGUUAUCCGGAUUUACUGGGCGUAAAGCGCACGCAGGCGGCUCUGUUAGUCGGACGUGAAAGCUCUCGGCUUAACCGAGAGAGGCCGUUCGAUACUGCGGGGCUUGAGGUAGGGAGAGGAAUGCGGAAUUCCCGGUGUAGUGGUGGAAUGCGUAGAUAUCGGGAGGAACACCUGUGGCGAAAGCGGCAUUCUGGCCCUCACCUGACGCUGAGGUGCGAAAGCGUGGGUAGCAAACA